rnacentral:rRNA from 1 species
AUUGAACGCUGGCGGCAGGCUUAACGCAUGCAAGUCGAGCGGGGGAAGGUAGCUUGCUACUGGACCUAGCGGCGGACGGGUGAGUAAUGCUUAGGAAUCUGCCUAUUAGUGGGGGACAACAUCUCGAAAGGGAUGCUAAUACCGCAUACGUCCUACGGGAGAAAGCAGGGGAUCUUCGGACCUUGCGCUAAUAGAUGAGCCUAAGUCGGAUUAGCUAGUUGGUGGGGUAAAGGCCUACCAAGGCGACGAUCUGUAGCGGGUCUGAGAGGAGGAUCCGCCACACUGGGACUGAGACACGGCCCAGACUCCUACGGGAGGCAGCAGUGGGGAAUAUUGGACAAUGGGGGGAACCCUGAUCCAGCCAUGCCGCGUGUGUGAAGAAGGCCUUAUGGUUGUAAAGCACUUUAAGCGAGGAGGAGGCUACUUUAGUUAAUACCUAGAGAUAGUGGACGUUACUCGCAGAAUAAGCACCGGCUAACUCUGUGCCAGCCGCCGCCGUAA